UUGUAUAUAAAAUAAAAUUGGAUUGCCAUUGGAAAUAAAAAAGUUGCAAACUGUAUAUCCAUAAGAAUUUAUCACUUUGAAGCACGACUAAAAAAAGGGUGUCACGAAGCAAUUUUAUCAAACAUGAAAAACGUGUGCAAGUAAAAUUGGAAUAGGUUUCCAAAAGUCAAUAUAGACGUAUAAAUAUCGGAUUUUAUAGUUUUAAAUGCACAGUUUUAUUUUUACACUUCUAUCUCCAAUAAGAAUGGCCACACUGAAGAAAAUUUUCAUAAUUUGUGUCGCGUUGCCUCUUUUAAUAGCGGCAUUUAGCAUGUUGUUGCCGGGGGCUGAAGCUCGAGAAGUGGCUCUAGUGAAGCGUUCACAGCUUUCCCAACCAACCGUAGAGCUUGUAGUUCGACUGGUACCGGUAUUGCGAACACUUUUGGGGAUCUUAUCUCCAAUAGUGGGUUAAAUAAAAACGUACAGGACCAAGAUUUCCGAAUUAAAAAGCUCCACUUAAUAAUUUCUGAAAAAUUAAUCGAUUUAAAUUUGUAUAAUUACCUAAUUGAAACAAAAUAAGCUCCUUGCAAUAAAAAGUGAAAUUCAUUGAGAAACCUAA